AAGGGACAGUUGGGUAUUUCAUAUUUCUCUUAAAAAAAAACUUUUUUGAUUAAAGCUCUAGAUUUUUUUUUUCUUAAGUGCCCCUUCCACCCCCAAAGAUGUCCAGGUCCUAGUCCCUGGAACCUGUGAAUGCUACCUUACACGGCAAGAGAAAUUUUACAGAUGUGAUUAUGUUAAAGAUCUUCAGGAGAUUAUCCUGGAUUAUUGUAAUCAAAAGAAGGUUUUAUAAGUGGGAGGUAAGAGAGUCAGAGUCAGAGCUGUGUCAGUGGAAACAGAGGUUGGAGUGACGCCGUGCGAGAAAGAUUUAGCUGAAGACUGAUGGCUUUGAGGCUGGAGGAAAGGUCCGGAAACCGAGGACUGCAGGUGUCCUCCAAGAGGUAGAAAAAGGCAAGGAAACAGAUUCUCCCCUGGAGCUUCCAGAAGGAACACAAUCCUGCCGAUUCCUUGAUUCUAGGCCAGGGAGUCACAUUUGGAAUUCUGACCUCCAGAAGCGUAAGAUAGUAAAUUUGUGUUAUUUCAAGCUGCCACAGUUGCGGUAAUGUGUUAACAGCAGCAAUAGGAAAUUAAUGCACGACCCCUCCUGGGAAAAAAGAAAAUCCUGCUGUAGACCCACAUCCAUAGAAGGGGAUGAACUGGGGAGAGGAGACAACUGGGCAAGAGCUGUUAAGAAGACAAGGGGCUCCUGCAACGCGGGUGAGAAUGUCAGAGGCUACCCACGUGUGUGAUGUAUACGUAGGUUCUUUCUUAUUCCAACACGGGUAUGAGCUGGCGCCACGGAGAUAUACAGCGCAGUACUUGCCUGCGUCUGCAUCUACUAUUUUAACUAUUUGUGUAGCCCUUUUUAUUUCCCCUGCCAGCCUGCGCUUUUCCGUGAUGGCAUUCCUCAUUAGGUCCUGGUCCUUUCCUCUGCCUUGUAUGAAUAACCCCGCCUUGCAUUUAUGAGGCAUCUCCCACUUCCCCAAGCGUUUCUGCAGCCAUUCCCCAUUUUGAGCCCUACCACAACUCUCGUGGGGUCGGGCAAGACCACGAGUAGUGUUACCAAUAUAUUUCACUGUCUCACGCAAGUUCUCCAACACCCAGGCCCUUCUGUCCCCAGUAGCCCACCCAUUUUCUCUGCAAGGUGAACUCUAGGCUAGGGGUGAGAAUGUGGAGGUGCUGUGGGCCUGGAGGGGUCCUGAGACUGUGAGCUCAGGGCCACCCAGAGUUACUGUGUGCAACUCCUUGGGCUUCUAACCUCUGAACCUGGAAGAAAAAUGCCUUUGCCCAGCUUGGGGGCGGGGGAGGGCGGCGGGGAACUGCACCACUGUGAAACCUUUUUCACUGUUCUUCUCAAGGACAUGGAGUAAUUGGAUGGGAAGAAAAGAGGUCAAAAGAGGCAGGGGAGGGCAGGUAGGCCAGGCUGACCGUCAGGGGUCCCCAGUCUGAGCCCCCUCCUCAUCGCCAACUGUCCUACAGAGGCUCUACUGUGAAGGCAGGCAGGAGGGAUGGGCAUGCUUCUGGUCCGGGUUUCAGGGCCUGGCGGAAGGGAGCGUCAGAAGAGAGCGGUACCCAUAAUUCUUUGGAUGCCAUCCACAACCUCCCAGAGACAGCGGUGUCUCUGGUUAGAGACGGUUUCGGGCCAUAGGUCCCCAUAUAUCAGGGGUCUAAGCUUGCCCUGGAGCUUGCAAGUCACUUUGCCUGGAUCGCACUUCCUCUGCAGAAUGUGGGUAACACCUAUCCUGCAAAUCGCUGGGAGGAUAAAAAUAAUACAUGGAAAAUAGGAAGCACUCAAAUGACAGCUCUAUUAUUUACAGCCAAACAAACCGAGAGGGGAAGUGGAUUUCUCAAAGUUGGGCAGCUGAUAAACGGAAUCAAGACCCCAUCUUCAACCCAAGUCUUCAGUUUCUCAUCCAAAGGCCCUCCACUUCCCACAACCAUCUGUGGCCCGGCGUGGGACAACCACCUUCCCCCCCCCCCCCCCCCCCAAGACAAAUCUUCCCAGCUCGGCUCACACAGAGAGAGCAGCAGGGGCUGCUUCUGCGCGCGGCCCCCACCCAGAACCCGCUGGAAGCUGAGCGCCGCACAGCUGCACACAACUGGCAACCCUCCCGGCUGGAUCCCCGAAGGGCGGCGCCGCGACCCGAAACCUCUGCGCGGGGAGACGUCAGGGCGGCCGCGUGCGUCUCCUCCCUCCGGCCGCUGUCCCGACCGCCGCCCCCGAGCACAGGGGCACUGAGCCCGCGGUCAGGGCGGACCCCGGAGCGGCGCCAGGCACAGCCUGGCUGGCGAAGCUCCCCGCGCGCCUCCGCUCCCGGGUGCGAGCGCUUCGGGCCGGGGCAGCGUGGGGCAGCGGGGAGUAACCGGGAGCGCACGGAGCCAGGGCGCACGCACAUCUGCAAACCCUUCCGCAAAGCUCUCCCUCUGCAAGCGUGUCGGGUCCGCGCGAAGGCCGGGCGGGAGGAACCCGGGGCGGCCGGGGGAGGCCUCGCGAAGUCGGCCCAGGGCGGCCGGGAGGCGACGGGAGAGGGGCCUGGCCCGCCGCCUGCAGGGUUCAGACGGGGCCAAGGAAGCCAAAAGCCGGCCGGCUCGCGCCAGCGCCGGGAGCCAAGGCUGACGCGGGGUGCUGAAUAAUGUUUGGCCGGCGGGCGCAGCCCCCGGGCUCGGCGGGGACGCGCGCAAGGGGCGGGCGGCCUCCCUCGGCGCCUCUGCCCCGAGCCCGCGCAGCCCGCUCCGCUGCGGGAGCGCUCCCGUCCCGGGCCCUGCCACCGCCGCGUCGGCCCGGAGGGCGGGCAGCAGGCGAUUCCAACCCCACUCGGCCCCUCGGGACUCCCUGUUCUGGCGCGUGCCUGGGAUCCCUGCGCAGAUCGUGGGAGGACAGGAAAUGCGGUCCCACUCCCCACGAAAGCGGUCCACCCGCCCCGUGCAUGUUCCCAGGCGGGACAGCCCUGGGGCCCAGCGCUGAGAUGGCUUGCGCGCAGAACUUCCUGAAAGUGAGCCACCUGCUUUGGGAAGAUGACAAGAACGGGGAACCCUGAAGCUCAGCUGUGCUGAGCCCCUGAAACUCACCUGUCGUGAGCCACAAAGGGGCCUUACACAGCCCUGUUAUCCCCUUACUGUCGUUAACAAGACUGUAAACAUAAACAGGUUUGUAUUUUACCUGGGCGCUUUCAACCCAUCUUUCCUCUUUAUCCUUACAGCAACCCUGUGACGCAGACAGAGCUGGUACCUAUUCAUUUUACAGGUGAGAAGUCGUAGGAGUGAGAAAGACCUGAGUUUCUGUGCCCAUUCGCCUAGCCAAGCUCUGUCAACCAAAGGCUGACCCCCUUCUCCCUCUCUCUCUCCCUCUCUUUCUCUCUCUCUCCUUCCCUCAGCGGGAAGUCACGUUUCCACCCCCUGCAACAUUCUUGAAGACGGUGGCCUCUAUUUCUCUGAGAAUUAGGCCUUCUAGUCUUCUGCUGCCUGGAGAGGUGGUGAUAGCAAGUGAUGAGGAAGCAGGUUCUCCUUACAGCAGGACACAUUCUGUGAGUGGCCUUCUUAGAUGCUUUCCUUCCAGCUGCAAGGAGGAUCAGCACUCCUUGCCCUGGGCAAGUAGUUCUCAAAGUCUAGUCCUCAGACUGGCAGCGGGAGCGCCACCCAGGAACUUGUAAGAAGUCCAUUCGCAACCUCUGCUCCACCCCAGACCUCCUGAAUCGGACACUCUGGAGGCGGAGCCCAGCAAUUUUGUUUUAAGAAACCAUCCAGUGGAUUCUGUGAUACAUGCUGAAGUUCUGGGAACCACUGUUCUAGAAAAACCUCUGCAGAAGCAGACUCUGAAUCCAAGAGCCUGACUGCCGCACUGCUGAGGAGGUCCGAGAAGGCAAGAAAUGAACUGGUCCGGCGAUCAGCAGCAGUGUGAUGGGUCCAUUCUUCAGAUUCUCUGUUAACUCUGUGUGUGUGUGUGUGUGUGUGUGUGUGUGUGUGCGCGCGUGCGCGUGUGCGUAUGUGGGUAAACCUUUGGGGCCACAUAAGAGAUUGGAAAGAAAUGGGGUCUUUCAGGGCGCCACACAAUACUGCGUUCACACACCCACUCGACUCACACACCGAGUGGUCCUGCUGUGGACCAGUCCCUCAACUCGCUAAGGAUGAUCUGGAUGUUCACUGAUUCUUUGAGUUGGAAGAAACAGGUGCAACCAGGUCACGUCACGCAGUGGAACAGCGUUGCUAGGUACGAGGAAACACGUGAAGCGGACACUGCUGUUUCGUUCUCCCUGGCUGACAGAAAGCUGACCCUGACUCAGUUGAAGGGUAGAGCCAGGCUGUGCUUCCGGGAAGGGUGGGGGGGGGGAAGGGGGGGCAGGCUGCACUCCUCCCAGCUGUCCCUAGUGCUUAAUGUAGGGAUGGGUACCAGGUAUGAUUUCAACCAGUGACGGAGCAGGGAAGCUUGCUGGGGAGCGGUUGGAAAAUUUUCCUCCCUGUCUGACAGGGUCACAAGAAACAUGCAUUUCCUUUUUUAUCUCUAGAUGCCACUGCUCGGAAUCACUACGGUCUUUCUGAAAAGACAGUGACACAUUGGACUGGAGGCGCAGGCAGCAUAUUGAGGGUGGCAGAGAAGAGAGUUAGGAAACACUUGGUAUCUUCAGGAUGUUUGCGGUUUUCUUUUGCAGCCCAAACCUUCCGAAUACAACGAGUGAGACCAGAAUCUCCCUGCGAUACACAAGCAGAAAUGCAAGUCCCGUGCGGCAUCAGAGGGGUUAUCAGGAGGACGUUCAGAGGCUCUGACAACGCUAGGCCUUAGAUCGGCUGGCGUCCCGCAUCUGUCUGUCUCAAGAGUUUCCGGCUCUGUUGCUCUCGCUGUCGGUCCCUUUUUGUGUCUGUCGUUUCCACUUUCUGCCCACUGGCCCUUACUCUCUCCGGUUUCCAGGUCAGAUUUUCAACAAUGAGAACCGGACUCGCCUCGUUGAGCAGCACAGCUUCUGAUGGGGAAGGACUUCUCAUGUGGGGCCUCCUCCUGGGUCGCUGGUCAGUCUGUGCAUUGGCUGUCGUUGAAUCAGGGUCCUGCUCCUGGUAAGGAGAGUGGAUACAGAACGUGGCCAGCCCCACUCAGCCCGAGGCAGAGGCCGUGGGCUGGGAAGCCUCCCUGACAAGUAAACAAGGCCCUUGGCAGGUACUGAGACUGACUUGCCACCACGGCCUUCUCGGGAAACAAUGAAAUGGCAGCGCUGAGCCAACCAGGGUCAGAGCAAAGGAAUCCACUCCAACCACAAACCCCCUCCGCUGUUGAUCUGUCAUACACCCGACAGUCCGGGGGGGGGGGUCUGGCCAAAAUGUGUGCCUGGGUGCCUCGAUCUGCCUCCAGACGCACAGUCGAACUGCUCAGAGACUAUCCCCACCCCGGGUGGGUCCCCGCAGGAAGGAGGCGCCCUUGCUGCCUGCCCCGAACGCGCACACCACACAUGAUUUUUCCAUAUGGCACUUUAUGGCAACCGUCUGCUGGGUUGCUUUGUUGUGUGCCGCAUCAGGAAAGCCUUCGCGGUGCCGCCUUGUGCUGGGAUGUGCCCGCAGCCGCCGCGCUGACGGAACGGAGAGUGGAAGGGACAGCAAACGACCGCAGCAGAAUGUUUCCUAAAGCCACACUUUAAAAAAGCAUAGGGGAUACCGGCAACAAGGAGCCCAAGUGUGAGAGCACGACCUCGCUUCCGCUGUGUUUGUGGCAUCCUGAUCGGACGUGUGUUAUUCUUUCCUUGAGAGCAAGCAAUCACAGGAACGGAAGAGGCGCAAACUGAGGUGUUUCUGUCACUUGUUAGUUCUCUAUCCUCAGGCGAGUUGUUUGAACUUCCUGAGCUUCAAUGUCUUCAUUGGUAAAAUGCGCCUAAUACUCCUUCCCUCGCAGGCUUGCCGUAUUCCUUCUACGCAGUGAGGCACCUGAGAAGAUGUUGAACACCUAAUGUCCUAAUAUGUUAAAGCUGCAAUUCCGAAAGACCCCCUCCCGGGGGGCAGGUGGGCUAUCGGAUGACUUUGAGAGACCCAUAGUCUGAAUCUCUAGACCAUGGUAUUGACUGAGUCCUGCAAUGUCAGAAACGAGCCGUGGCUGGAAAGUGCCAAGUGGAUCGUGGGAUCUUGGGAAGAAGACAGCUUCGCUCAUGCUCAUCCGACCAGGAAAUGGAGAGGAAGCCAAAGUAGCUUCCAGAGCUGAGCCCAGGUGUCACUCAUCAUUUUACGCUACAUGGGAAGUGGGACAGGCCCCGGGCCUGACACCAGCUAGGCCUCCAAGGAAAGAAUCAGAAGCCACGGUUACCAGUCAGUGAAUGAUGCCAGGGCAAACCACUCAGGGCAUUAGGAGAUGGGUCAGGAAUAAGAAUGGGAUUUUUUGGGAUUUGGGAGCCAAAGGAUCUUCAGGGGAGUGAUAGAGAUGUUUAGGAAUUCUCGGGCCUAGCAUCGAGAAAGGUCAACUAGACGUCUGAGAGCACUCAGAAGUCUGGAAUGGCUGCCUGAGGCCACACUCGAAGAGGAAAUCAGCAGUGAGUGUUAGAGAGAUUUUAGGGAUCCCUGAAGGCCACACGAUAGGAGUACCAGACACUGGUGUUAUUUAAGAUGGUGGGGAGGAACGGGGCCAGUUUUUUCCAGAAGACAAGAGUCUAAGGUGUUUCACUCCACCCCGCCCCCACCCCACCCCUGCACAUCCUGCAAAA